CGGAGGGUGCGAGCGUUGUCCGGAUUUAUUGGGUUUUAAAGGGUGCGUAGGUGGCCCGGUCAGUCAGUGGUGAAAUGCGGCCGCUCAACGGUCGAACUGCCAUUGAUACUGCCGGGCUUGAGACGGGUGGAGGCCGCCGGAACGGGAUGGUGUAGCGGUGAAAUGCAUAGAUAUCAUCCAGAACACCGAUUGCGAAGGCAGGUGGCUACGCCCGGACUGACACUGAGGCACGAAAGCAUGGGGGAGCAAACAGGAUU
rnacentral:rRNA from 1 species